CACAGACGAGGUAUAUGAAUAGACCCAACAUACAAUGUACUUUUUCGGCCCACGAUUGGAGGGUGCACGAGCCCACUUAUCAUUUUCGUGUCACAUCCUGUCGUACCGAUUCAGGCAAAUAUUAGAGGCCUCUGUAUUGUAUAUAAAA